rnacentral:tRNA from 1 species
GGGGAUGUGGCUUAAUGGUAGAGUGCUUGCCUAGCAUGCAUGAAGUCCUGGGUUUGAUUCCUCAGCACCA